GCUCUCGGCCGUCGCUGCCCAACGAGCUUCGAUAAACUGCUCUUUUACUGACACUCUGCAGGGCCCAUCCGAAAGAGAAAAUGGGGGGAGAACCCAGGACUCUGGCGUUCUGUUCUCCUAAUAAACUGAGGUUACGAUUGCAAGGUGUACGUAUGUGGGCGGUUGGACCAAUGCUGCCAUCUCGUGGCUGAAACCCCCAACAUACCGCUGCCUGCCUUAAGACCGCGCUGUGGUUUGAGGUGGUUUUAGGCGCGGGCCGCAGACGGGUGAAGCAAAGGAAGAUUUAAUUUGUCAGCCCAGUUAGACCUCCCCAGAUUCCCUGGUUUACUGAAUGGGGCAGGACUUAUGAAAACUAUAGAGAUGUGCAAAAGAACAACCAUCCUUCUCUCUGCUACUAUGAAUUUUGACUUUUUAAGAUUCUACAUGUAAAUGAUAUAAUGACAGCACCCCUGGACAUAGAGAAGUUCUCAGGCCAGGGGUGGAAUCUCUAGCCGCCGGCCUGCACCACAACCACAGCAACUCCAGAUCCAAGCCACAUCUGCGACCUACACCACAGCUCACAGCAACACCAGGUCCUUAACCCACUGAGUGAGGCCAGGGAUCAUACCUGAAUCCCCAUGGAUAUUAGUCGGGUUUGUUACUGCUGAGACAUGAUGGAACGCCCACCAUUUCUUUUUUUAAGUUAAAGUUUUGAUUUUAUGUUUAUCUUUUAUUAUAAAAACUCAUUAUAGAGUUUUAUUUUUUUCCACUAUAGCUGGUUUACAGUGUUCUGUCAAUUUUCUCCUGCAUAGCAAGGUGACCCAGUCACACAUACAUGUAUACAUUCUUUUUUCUUACAUUACCAUGCUCCAUUACAAGUGACCAGACACAGUUCCCAGUGCUAUACAGCGGGAUCCCAUUGCUUAUCCAUUCCAAAGGCAGUAGUUUGCAUCUAUUAAACCCAAAUUCCCAGUCCAUCCCACUCCCUCCCCCUCCCUCUUGGCAACCAGAAGUUUGUUCUUCUUGUCCAUGGUUUUCUUUUCUGUGGAAAGAUUCAUUUGUGCCAUAUAUUAGAUUCCAGAUAUAAGUGAUAUCAUAUGGUAUUUGUCUUUCUUUUUCUGACUUACUUCACUCAGUAUGAGUCUCUAGUUCCAUCCAUGUUGCUGCAAAUAGCAUUAUUUUUUUCUUUUUUUUUAUGUCUGAAUAGUACUCCAUUGUGUAUAUAUACCACAUCUUCUUAAUCCAAUCCUCUGUCAAUGGACAUUUAGGUUGUUUCCAUGCCUUGGCUAUUGUGAAUAGUGCUGCAAUGAACAUGUGGGUGCAAGUGUCUUUUUCAAGGGAAGUUUUGUCCGAGUAUAUGUCCAAGAGUGGGGUUGCUGAGUCAUAUGAUAGUUCUAUGUAUAGUUUUCUAAGGUACCUCCAUACUGUUCUCCAUAGUGGCUGUACCAGCUUACAUUCCCAUCGACAGUGCAGGAAGGUUCCCUUUUCUCCACACCCUCUCCAGCAUUUGUUAUCUGUGGCCCUUCUGACUGGUGUGAGUGACUUUAUGUUUAAAAGUUAACACAUCUUGAGUUUUCUGAGCCAACAAGCAUGUUCUCUAACACCAUAUUCUACAAGUGGAUAUUGAAAUAAAUUUUAGCUAAAAUAUAUCAACAGAAGAAUUCCUACUAUUCCUUAAAUACAUUUUUGGUUUUUAACAUUCAGUUAAUUUAAAUUCUUCUAGUACUUACAUUGAAUUAUGGUGGUUUUUUCCCCCCUUUUCCCCAGCAGUUACUGAAAUAUACUUGACAUAUAAUAUUGUACUACUUUUAGUUGUACACAUAGCGAUUUCAUAUUUGUAUACAUAGCCAAAUUAUUACCAUAAUAAAUUUAGUUAACACUCAUACCCUCACAUAGUUAAUAAUUCUUUUUCUUGUGAUAAUAACUUUUAAGAUCUACUCUCCUAGCUAAUUACAAAUAUACAACAUUGUUAACCAUACUCACCAUGCUAUACAUUACAUCCCUAGAAUUUAUCUUAUGACUGGAAGUUUGUACCUUUUGCUUACCUUCACCCAUUUUGCCUCUCACCCCCAAACCCCACCUCUGGCAACUACCAAUACGUAUCUAUGAGUUUGGGUUUUCAUUUUUGUUUUUUUUUGUUUUUUGUCUUUUUAGGGCCGAAUCUGUGGUAUAUGCAGCUUCCCAGGCUAUGAGUUGAGUUGAAGCUGUAGCUGCCAGCCGAGCAGUGUCUGCCAUCUAUACCACAGCUUACUGAGCCACAAUGGGAACUCCAAGUUUGGGGUUUUGUUUUUUUUAAGAUUCCAUGUAUAGAUGAGAUCAUACAGGGUUUGUCUUUCUCUUUCUGACUUAUUUCACAUAAUGCCUUCAGGGUCCAUCUGUCAUUGCAAAUGGCAGGAUUUCUUUUAUUUAGAAAUAAUUUUAUUGAAAUAUAGUUGUUUCACAACAUUGUUCCUUCAUUUUUAUGGCUGAAUUUCCUCUGAUAUAUAUUGAUAUACUGAUGUCAUAUUUUCUUUAUCCGUUCAUCCAUCAAUGGACAUUUGGGUUGAUUCCAUAUGUUGGCUGUUGUAAAUCAUCCUGCAAUGAACAUGAAGGUGCAGAUAGGUAUCUUUUUGAGAUAGUGGUUUUUCUUUCUUUUGAAUAUAUACAUAGAAGUAGGAUUGCCGGAUUAUAUGGCAGUUUUCAAUUUUUUGAUGAACCUCCAUACUGUUCUCCAUAGUGGCUAUGCCAGUUUACAUUCCCACCUACAGUGAACAAGGGUUCCUUUUUCUCCACAUCCCCACCAACUUUUGUUAUUUCUGGGUUUUUUUUUUUGAUGAUAGGCAUUGUAAGGUGAUAUCUCAUUGUGUGUGAGUGUGUGUGUGUGUGUGUGUGUGUGUUUGGCCAUGCCUAAGGCAUAUGGAGAUUCUCUGGGUCAGGAAUUGAACCCAUGCCAAAGCAGUGACCUGAGCCAUAGCCAUGACAGUGCUCCAUCCUUAACCACCAGGCUACCAGGGAACUCCCCCACCUAUAUUUUUUCUUCUAGGAGUUUUAUGGUGUCUAGUCUUACAUUUAGGUCUUUAAUCCAUUUUGAGUUUAUUUUUAUAUAUGGUGUUAGAGAAUGUUCUAGUUUCAUUCUUGUACAAGUAACUGUCCAGUUUUCCUAGUACCACUUAUUGAAUAGAAUAUAUUUUCUCCAUUGUAUAUUCUUGCCUCCUUUGUCAUGGAUUAAUUAACCAUAAGUGUGUGGAUUUAUUUUGGGGCUUUCUUUUCUUUUCCAUUGAUCUAUGUGUCUGUUGGAAGCACAACUGAUUAUUGUGUAUUGAUUUUGAAUACUCCAAAUUUACUGGAUUUAUUAGUUGUAAGAGUUUGUGCAUGUGUGUGUGUGUGUGCAGUCUUUAGAGUUUUCUUCCUGUAGGAUCAUGCCAUCUGCAAACAGUGAGAACUGUCCUUCUUCCUUUUAGAUUUGGAUUUCUUUUUUGUGGGGGCUCUGAUUGCUGUUUACAAUAUUUCUAGUACAAUGUUGAAUAGAAGUGGCAAGAGUGGACAUCCUUGUCUUGUACUGAAUCUUAGGAAAAAAUUAUCAGUUUUUCUGCAUUGAUUAUGAUUUAGCUGUGACUUUUCAUAAAUGGUCUCUGUUAUGUUGAGAAAGUUUCCUUUUGUACCUAUUUUGUUGAGAAUUUAUAUCACAAAUAAAUGUUGAAUGUUGUCAAA
rnacentral:lncRNA from 1 species